rnacentral:rRNA from 1 species
CUAAGAAUCUUCCGCAAUGGACGAAAGUCUGACGGAGCGACACCGCGUGGGUGAAGAAGGCGGAAACGUUGUAAAGCCCUUUUAUGGAUGAGGAAUAAGGCUGGGAGGGAAUGCCCGGCUGAUGACGGUAGUCCAGGAAUAAGCCCCGGCUAAUUACGUGCCAGCAGCCGCGGUAACACGUAUGGGGCGAGCGUUGUUCGGAAUUAUUGGGCGUAAAGGGCAUGCAGGCGGUUCUGCAAGUCUGGUGUGUAAUCUCCCGGCUCAACUGGGAAGACGCGCUGGAAACUGUGGGACUAGAGUACCGGAGGGGUAGCUGGAAUUCCAGGUGUAGGGGUGAAAUCUGUAGAUAUCUGGAAGAACAUCAAUGGCGAAGGCAAGCUACUGGCCAGGUACUGACGCU